AGCUACCUGAGGAGAAGGGAAGUGGGAGAGACUUAGAAGCUGGCCAGCAGGGAAGCUGCUGAUGGGAAAAUGACUGUCAAGGGUUUUCUGUACAUACUAGCGGCAUCACACUGGGAUUCAAUUUUUUUUUCUCUUUAUCACUCCUGUAGGUAAGGAGGAGAAAAGAAAGAAGGAAAAAUUGGAAAGAUAAAUGGGGUCUUCCAGUGAAGCUUUCCAUUGUGCACCCAUAUCUAACAUAUUAUCAGCUGAUCCGUAGUGAAAAAUCUUAUAUUUUCCAAACUUGGUCUGCACCAUCAUACUGCUGCUGUUCCUUCACACCACUAUAUCUUUCUACAUUUUCCCUUUACCUGUAAGUAUUUUUCCUAAGUACAUCUGGCUAAAUUAGAGUCAUAAUUCAAAAUUCAUUUUAGUAAUAAUCUCUGAUACUUCUCCAAUGUUUUUACUUUAUUUCAAUUGACAAACAUGGUGUAUAUUUAUUAUGUAUAACAUACUUUGAAAUAUAUAUAUAUGUGGAAUGGCUAAAUUGAGCUAAUUAACAUUGCGUUAACUCACAGGUUUAUCAUUUUUGCUAAUAAGAACAUUUAAAAUCGACUCUGUUAGCAAUUUGUAAGAAUGCAAUACAUUUUAUUAACCAUGCUGCA
rnacentral:lncRNA from 1 species